rnacentral:rRNA from 1 species
GACGAACGCUGGCGGCGUGCCUAAUACAUGCAAGUAGAACGCUGAAGGAGGAGCUUGCUUCUCUGGAUGAGUUGCGAACGGGUGAGUAACGCGUAGGUAACCUGCCUGGUAGCGGGGGAUAACUAUUGGAAACGAUAGCUAAUACCGCAUAAGAGUAGAUGUUGCAUGACAUUUGCUUAAAGGGUGCAAUUGCAUCACUACCAGAUGGACCUGCGUUGUAUUAGCUAGUUGGUGGGGUAACGGCUCACCAAGGCGACGAUACAUAGCCGACCUGAGAGGGUGAUCGGCCACACUGGGACUGAGACACGGCCCAGACUCCUACGGGAGGCAGCAGUAGGGAAUCUUCGGCAAUGGACGGAAGUCUGACCGAGCAACGCCGCGUGAGUGAAGAAGGUUUUCGGAUCGUAAAGCUCUGUUGUAAGAGAAGAACGAGUGUGAGAGUGGAAAGUUCACACUGUGACGGUAUCUUAACAGAAAGGGACGGCUAACUACGUG